UACGUAGGGACCGAGCGUUGUCCGGAAUCAUUGGGCGUAAAGAGCGUGUAGGCGGCCACUUAAGUCCUGCGUGAAAUCUUGCGGCUCAACCGCAAGCGGUCGUGGGAAACUGGGUGGCUAGAGUGCGGGAGAGGAGAGUGGAAUUCCUGGUGUAGCGGUGGAAUGCGCAGAUAUCAGGAAGAACACCCGUGGCUAAGGCGGCUCUCUGGAACGCAACUGACGCUGAGACGCGAAAGCGUGGGGAGCAAACAGG
rnacentral:rRNA from 1 species